rnacentral:rRNA from 1 species
CCUACGGGUGGCAGCAGUGAGGAAUAUUGGUCAAUGGACGAGAGUCUGAACCAGCCAAGUAGCGUGAAGGAUGACUGCCCUAUGGGUUGUAAACUUCUUUUAUAAAGGAAUAAAACGAGGCACGUGUGCCUUUUUGCAUGUACUUUAUGAAUAAGGAUCGGCUAACUCCGUGCCAGCAGCCGCGGUAAUACGGAGGAUCCGAGCGUUAUCCGGAUUUAUUGGGUUUAAAGGGAGCGUAGAUGGGUUGUUAAGUCAGUUGUGAAAGUUUGCGGCUCAACCGUAAAAUUGCAAUUGAUACUGGCAGUCGUGAGUACAGUUGAGGUAGGCGGAAUUCGUGGUGUAGCGGUGAAAUGUUUAGAUAUCACGAAGAACCCCGAUUGCGAAGGCAGCUUACUAAACUGUGACUGACAUUGAUGCUCGAAAGUGUGGGUAUCAAACAGGAUUAGAUACCCGAGUAGUC